rnacentral:lncRNA from 1 species
CCUACCUUCCCGCUGUUUCCUCCUGGUCCUUCUGGGCGGUGCAACCUCUGGCUUCCAGGGCCUACCGGCAGCUGACAGCCACCAAGAGCUUCGAAGGCUACCAGCGGUCGUGCGGAUGGUCUCCCUGUCGCAGAGGAGCACAUCCCAGGUAGUGUUGGUCCAAGGAAAACGAAGGAUGUGUGGAGCUGACCUGAAUGUGACGUGCGUCCCGAAGCAGAACUUCCCCAGGCUACUCUCAGGUUUGUAAGAAAACAAAUGAAUGUUUGUUGUUGGAAGUUGGUACAAUUUUGAGAUUUUUUUCUGACUUAAUAUCAGUAGGAAUUCCCAUGCUUUCUCAACUGACCUCACUGUGGACACACAUGCAGAACUGUGCCCAGUCUUACGUGUAAUCUGUUUGCCUGGACUGGAGAGUCCACUUUCCAGUUAAAUCACCAUGGUUCUCAAAUCAAAGCCAUUGAUCAUCUCAAAAAGCACUAACUUGGAAGUAUUCAAGCUUUGAACUUAGGUCUGAAAUACAUAAAUUUUUCUAUUAUUUUAAGAAACAUAAAAUGAAUAUCAUAGGAAAAAGAAACUCUGGAAUGAUCAGGGGGCCAAAAGUCUUUGCACUGUAUUCACCUUGGUCUAGUGGUGGGCAUCUCAAAUAGUGUGGCACAGACAUCACAUGAGCCAAGAGCACAAUGUCAGAAGGCUAAUUCUGGUCCAGUCUACUUGCUGAGAUGUCUUGGCACUUAAUUAACUUCUUUUUUUUUUUUAAUUAAAAAAAUUUUUUUAAUGUUUAUUUUUGAGAGAGAGAGGAGCAGAGAGAGAGAGGGAGACACAGAAUCUGAAGCAGGCUCCAGGCUCUGAACUGUCAGGAGAGAGCCCAACGUGGGGCUUGAACUCACGAACUUUGAGAUCAUGACCUGAGCCAAAGUCGGACAUUUAACCAACGGAGCCACCCAGGUGCCCCUUAAUUAACUUUUUUGAGU